UGUCCACAUUGUUAGAGCUUGGAGUUGAGGCUGAUGACUGGCUGCUGAACUCACAGUGUAGGUAGCAUGCUACAUGAGGGGCAAGUUUUUCCACUAACAUUACAAGGGUCUCUGGUCCAGUUAGUGCAACUUAAUAGUAAUCCUUACUGCAAGU